AUGGCUUUUCACAGUUAUCAAUCUUAUCUUCUAGGUGUUUCAUGCAUUGCUUUGGUGUUGGUUUCAGGAUUGGUUACUAGUUUGGAGACUCCAGCAACAGUUUUAGAUGAAACAUGUGCUCCGGGUUGGCCACUUUCAUUUUGUUGUUCUGCGGUUUGUUCUCCAAACUGCGAUCAAGACUGUAAGAGAAAAGGAUAUAAAUCAGGUGGACAUUGCGAAACUUUUGGUAAUACUCUAUGUUGUUGUUUUAGGCCUAGGCCAUGA